UACGGAGGAUGCGGGCGUUAUCCGGAUUUAUUGGGUUUAAAGGGUGCGUAGGCGGGUUAUCAAGUCAGCGGUAAAAUCGUGGAGCUCAACUCCAUCCAGCCGUUGAAACUGAUGAUCUUGAGUGGGCGAGAAGUAUGCGGAAUGCGUGGUGUAGCGGUGAAAUGCAUAGAUAUCACGCAGAACUCCGAUUGCGAAGGCAGCAUACCGGCGCCCGACUGACGCUGAAGCACGAAAGCGUGGGUAUCGAACAGG
rnacentral:rRNA from 1 species